UGAUGGACGUCACAAGUCGAAACAUACAGGAAUAAGAAAAUAUAUAUAAUGGACAGAGGGACAGGCAGACAGACAGACAGACAGACAGAUAGAUAGAUAGAUAGAUAGAUAGAUAGAUAGAUAGAUAGAUAGACAGACAGACAAAUAGAUAGACAGACUGAUUGACAGACAGACAAACAGACAGAUAAACAGACCAACAGAAAGAUAGACAGACAAACAAACAGACAAACAGAGAGAUAGACAGGUAGACAGACAGACAGACAGAUUGAUAAAAAGAGAGAUAGAGUGACAGACGGACAGACAAACAGACAGACUGACAGAUAGAUAGAUCGAUCGAGCGAUAGACAGACAGACAGACAGACAGACAGACAGAUAGAUAGAUAGAUAGAUAGAUAGAUAGAUAGAUAGAUAGAUAGAUAGAUUUACAGACGGCUACAGAUGGAUAGAUAGAUAGAUAACUUUCUUUACUGGCCACACAGGGCCAAACACAGAGGGGACAAUACAAAUGUAGAGCUUUUCUUUUCGAAAAUGAAAAAGAAAAAGGAAAAAAAAAGAGAAAAACAAGUAAAAUUCUGAUCAAAAGGGUCGGAGAAAAAAGGACGAAAAAAGAAAAGAAAAGAAAAAAGAAGCAAGAUUAGGUUUAUCCGUGGAAAGAAAAGCCUACGGAAAAGACCACGGUAACCUCAGGCAGGGAGAGAAUACACAUGAGAGCAAAGUGCUCUCUCUCUCUCUCUCUCUUUUUCGAUUUACAGGAUCAUGCUCAAAGUGGUUUAUUAUUUCUUCAUUGCCCACAAGGGUAGAGGGGACAAACAAGGACAGACAAAGGGAUUAAGUCGAUUAGAUCGACCCCCAGUGCGUAACUGGUACUUAAUUUAUCGACCCCGAAAGGAUGAAAGACAAAGUCGAUCUCGGCGGAAUUUGAACUCAGAACGUAACGGCAGACGAAAUACCGCUAAGCAUUUCGCCCGGCGUGCUAACGUUUCUGCCAGCUCGCCGCCUAUCAUGCUCAAAGUGGUUUCGUCGCUCGCACGCACCAUCUUUUGCUACAUUCACCCACUUUUUUUAAAACUUUCACGAGACAAAACCUGCCUCUCCAUUCUCACCUUCCUAGAUAUGUUUUUAUUAUAGCCACACAGGGCUGAACACAGAAAUUGGACGAAAUACAAACGUAGAGUUUUUCAUUUUCGAGGUGGGCUGGGUGGGACACACAAAGAAAAGUCAAAUCAAUAGGGAUUGUAAUCGUUGGGGUGUGUGGUGUACAAAAAUUACAAAUCUUCCCAAAAACGGGAAUAAAUAUUGUUUACAGUUUAGGUGUAUCCUUGGAGUGAAAAACCUACAAAAAAGCACCAAGGUCACCUUAGGCAGUUCAAAAUGUACAUGAAAAAUUAUUUCCGGACUUAACGCGCCAGAUUGAAGACAUUUGAAAUGAUACGCUGAAUGUAAUUUGUAGAACUCUACACGUGCUCCCUUUCGUGUGGACGUCUUGUGUCUAAUUCUGGAAAUUGCAUUGCGAAUCGAUGGACUACGCUGACGAUCCUGCAGAUAUUUACUUAUGUAAAUUUUAACAGGUGAAACCAUGUCAUUGAACCGUGACCGUGCAGGGACAUCACCUUCAAGGGCUUCAGUCGAACAAAUCGACUCCUGUACUAAAGACUGUUUUAAGUCUAGUACUUAUUCUAUCAGUCUUUUUUGCCGAACCACUAAAUUACGAAACAAACCGGUUGUCGAGCGGCGAAGGAUUGACAGACACAGACAGACACGCAUAUAUUUAUAUAUACGCGGGGCUUCUACACAGUUUCCGUCUGUAAAAUUCCCUCAUAGACAUUGGUCGACCCAGAGCUAUAGUAGUAGAAGACACUUGCCCCCAAGGUGACGCGAAGUGCGACUAAACCCGAAACCACACGUUUGCAAAGCGGGCUUCUUAACCACAAUGUUUUUCGUUAUUUUAAUGAAGCUCAAGUUGAGUCAUGUUCUGGGUAGUUUGUAUGCAACAUUCUGAGUGAAUCAACAUUACAGGAUCAACUGAAGAUUGUUAGUAAUUUAUCUAAAAUAAAGCGAAUUCAUAUGAUUGUAAUUAUUUCGGGGUAUUUAUAAAGUCAGGCAAAACCGGAUACAGCUGCAAGUAUUCUUAUAAGACAUCCUAAAUGUGAAUGGGGUUAUAAUAGAAAACUAACUUUCCAUUUCGUUCUCCUGGGGGCCGAUAAAAUCAACUGCUAUUCAAAUUACUGAUACAGAUUUAAUAUUUCUAUAUAGCAAAACUGCGAGCUGACAGAAACGUUGCCGUGCCAGGCAAAAUGCUUAACGGCUUUUCGUCUGUCUCUACGUUCUGAGUUCAAAUUCUGCUGAGGUAGACUUUAAGGAUCGAUAAAAUCGAUACCAAUUGAACACUGGGGUAAUCGACUUGCCACCUUCCUCCGAAAUUACUGGUUUUGUUGCCAAAAUUUGAAAUCAAUAUUUUGUUCGUGGUUUAAAUUCAGCCGAGGUCAGCUUUGUCUUUUAUUUGUAUCGAUAAAAUUAAGUAGCAGUCAAGUAAUUGAGUCUCGAUUUACUGUUAUUAUGCAAGAGUUAAUAAAGCGGUGAGCUGGCAGAAUUGUUGGGUACACCGAACAAAAUGCUUAACAGUAUUUCUUUAGUCUUUACGUUCUGAGUUCAAAUUCCGCUGUGGUCGACUUUGCCUUUCAUCCUUUCAGGGCCAAUAAAAUAAGUAAUCGACUUACACCGUCUGCGAAAUUGCAGGCCUUGUGCUAAAAUUUGAAGCUAAUAUUUCUAUAAAGCAUCUUUGAUGUGAAUGGAAUUAUAAUAGAAAACUGAAACUGCAGGGUUUCCAUUAAAAUAUCUGUCUAAUACUGGGAUUGAUUUAAUGUUCCUUCCUAUAAAGCUUCUUAGAUGAAACUGGCACCAUAAUAGAAGAUAAGCUGGAAAAAUUAAUUAAUUAAUUAAUUAAAUGAUUGGUUGAUUACUACCUUGUUGAUGAUGAUUAGGUUUUUAGUUCUUUUUUUUUUUUUCGUAGUAAGAAAUGUGAAAGAAGAACAUGACAAAUGAGAGGUGUGAACGGCACAGAGACAGCUAUUAAAAGAGGAGAAAUCAGUGAAGUGACUCAACUAGGAAUCGAAACCAUAUUGCGAGCACGUCUUUACGGGAACAUACCACCUACCACUGUAUAAUACAGGUGCUGGAAACAAAGCUAGUCACUUCAUUUUGUUGUCUGAGCUGCUAGACAUUACCCUCAAAUCACAUUUUAAUGUCCCAAAAACAAUGAAUAAACAAAAAUUAAAAUUUAAAAUGAAACGCACAUUACAUAAUGGAGUCCUAGAUGCACUAUGCCUGAAAAUAAGAUGUGAGUGUCAUGGCUAGAACAUCUUGAAUUAAAGGUUAGCUACAUAGUUUGUGCAAAAUGCAGAUUAAUCUGCGUAUAAUACACUCCUUUUUGUAAUUUAUUAGUGAAAGUAGUUUCUUAGAAUGCGUAGUAUAUGCCAAUUGAACAAUCCUAUCUACUAAGUCCUCUUUAAUAUGAAUUAAUUGCGUAACUGUGGGUAGUUAAAAAUUGUGCUCGGUUGCUUAUGAAAUCCCAACACAGGGCUCAAAAUAAUCCGGUUGAUCCGUUUUACUAUUUUCUACAAAAUAUUUUAUAUACAAUGUGUUUGCAUCUAUCCCUUCAUACAACAUUUGUGGUUAAAAAGCUCGCUUUGAAAUCGCGUGAUUACGGAUUCAGCCCCACUGCGCAGCACUCAGGGCAAACCGUCUACUAUUUCACCUUCAGCGGAAUCCUUUCUGUUGCAAACAUUCAGGUAACGUCUUUCGUCUGAAGAUAAUUUUCUGCCUUCCUCUCUUCCUCAUUUCCGUCCACCAAUCUUUGGGGCCUUGCAAGAAGGUCCCAGAACGUUGACCUUUAUUUUAUGAUUGAGUCAUAUAAAUAAAACAGUUCAUUCGUAUAAUACAUCCACAUUUAUAUAUUUAUAUUUUUCGCCCGCACUUCCACAUUUGUGGUUUAACAUCCAACUCCUUCACUUUUGUAGUUUUUAGACCAACACUUCCACAUUUGCAUACUUGCACAUUUCCACAUUUGUUUUUAGACUCACACAUCCAUUUGUGAUUUUCCGCCUACACUUCUAUACUUCCAUUUGUGAUUUUCCACCCACACUUCUAUACUUCCAUUUGUGAUUUUCCACUCACACUUCUAUACUUCCAUUUGUGAUUUUCCACCCACACUUCUAUACUUCCAUUUGUGAUUUUCCACACACACUAUACUUCCAUUUGUGAUUUUCCACCCACACUUCUAUCCUUCCAUUUGUGAUUUUCCACUCACACUUCUAUACUUCCAUUUGUGAUUUUCCACCCACACU